CCUACGGGGGGCAGCAGUGGGGAAUAUUGGACAAUGGGGGCAACCCUGAUCCAGCCAUGCCGCGUGUGUGAAGAAGGCCCUCGGGUUGUAAAGCACUUUCAGUGAGGAAGAACGCCUGGUGGUUAAUACCCAUCAGGAAAGACAUCACUCACAGAAGAAGCACCGGCUAACUCCGUGCCAGCAGCCGCGGUAAUACGGAGGGUGCGAGCGUUAAUCGGAAUUACUGGGCGUAAAGCGCGCGUAGGUGGCUUGAUAAGCCGGUUGUGAAAGCCCCGGGCUCAACCUGGGAACGGCAUCCGGAACUGUCAAGCUAGAGUGCAGGAGAGGAAGGUAGAAUUCCCGGUGUAGCGGUGAAAUGCGUAGAGAUCGGGAGGAAUACCAGUGGCGAAGGCGGCCUUCUGGACUGACACUGACACUGAGGUGCGAAAGCGUGGGUAGCAAACAGGAAUAGAUACCCUGGUAGUC
rnacentral:rRNA from 1 species